GAGCAAAAAGGAUUUAAAGGUCCUCUCUUCCUAUUCGAUAGGAAACUCUUAUGACUUAUAGGGGUGCCAUGUGAUUUAAUUCCAUGAAGAAGAACGUGAAAAGAAGAGCUUACUUUUCUACAAAAUCCUAGAUAUUGAAACCUUAGGAUUUGUUGUAUGUGAUACAAAGCUUGAGUUGUAUAAAAAAUAAAAUAUCUAAUC
rnacentral:lncRNA from 1 species